rnacentral:lncRNA from 1 species
GUCUACCAUAUUUUUGCGGUUUAUGGUGGGGUGAGUGGAUCGAGCACCCAUUUUUAGGAUAUUUCUCACGGUCCACGAUGGACCGACGUCUGUUUUUCCAAUGUUUCUUGCGGUCUAUGCGAUAUCUGGUGGAUCGAAGGUGUGAUCGGAUGGUGGAUCGAGCUUUCUGUGAUGAUCCGACGGCUGAGAGUGUUUUUUGAAUUAUUUUGGGCUGUUUCAGAUGUUUUUUUAGCACUGAUUUGGGUUGUGCAAUGCAGAUCCGAUGGUGGAUUUUGUUUAUUUGAUUCUACAGCGAAUAGGAAUCCAUUUUUGACACGAUUUGGAUUUGCUUCCACCUGGUGACGAGCUUUAUUUAAAGGAAGGACUUGGGAGAGGUUCUGUAGUAGUGAGAGCAGUGAAAACAACAUAAGAAAGAGAGGGUUCAAGAGAAGA